AGUGAACGCUGGCGGUAGGCCUAACACAUGCCAGUCGAACGGCAGCACCGUAAGUGCUUGCUCUUACGGGUGGCGCGCGUCGGACGGGUGAUUUAUACAUCGGAUUCUACUUUUUCGUGGGUGCUAAUGUAGGGAAACUUACGCUAAUACCGCAUACGACCUACGUGUGACAGCAGGCGAUCUUCUGACCUUGUGCUUUUGAAUGUGCCUCUGUAGGAUUAGCUAGUUGGGGGGGUAAAGGCCUACCAAGGCGACGAUGCGUAGCUGGUCUGAGCGGAUGAUCAGGCACACUGGAAGUGAGACACGGUAGAGACACUUACACGAGGAAGCAGUGGAGAAUAUUGGGCGAUGGGCGAAAGGCUGAUCCAGCGAAACGGCGUGAGUGAUGAAGGAGUUAGGGUUGGAAAACGAUGUUGUUGGGAGGAAAGAAAAAUAGGUUAAUCGGGCGCGAUAAUGACGGUACCCGAAGAAGAAGCACCGGCUAACUUCGUG
rnacentral:rRNA from 1 species